CCUACGGGCGGCAGCAGUCGAGAAUCAUUCACAAUGGGGGAAACCCUGAUGGUGCGACGCCGCGUGGGGGAAUGAAGGUCUUCGGAUUGUAAACCCCUGUCAUGUGGGAGCAAAUUAAAAAGAUAGUACCACAAGAGGAAGAGACGGCUAACUCUGUGCCAGCAGCCGCGGUAAUACAGAGGUCUCAAGCGUUGUUCGGAAUCACUGGGCGUAAAGCGUGCGUAGGCUGUUUCGUAAGUCGGGUGUGAAAGGCGCGGGCUCAACCCGCGGAAGGCACAUGAUACUGCGAGACUAGAGUAGUGGAGGGGGAACCGGAAUUCUCGGUGUAGCAGUGAAAUGCGUAGAUAUCGAGAGGAACACUCGUGGCGAAGGCGGGUUCCUGGACAUUAACUGACGCUGAGGCACGAAGGCCAGGGGAGCGAAAGGGAUUAGAUACCCUGGUAGUC
rnacentral:rRNA from 1 species